AAGUGUGCCACUGCUCCGCCUUCUCCUUUUCGCAAUGUUGACGCAAUCUAUAAAUAGUGGAACAAAAGGACCAACUUCCUCGCAGCUCUGCUGAAACUGCACAAAAAAGGCAACAGGGGGGUUGUUAUUUUUAUUUUUUUUUCUGGUUAAACAGCCGAAUCUAUGGGGUAAUCUCGCUAUUGGAAGAUUUUUCUUCGCUUUCUCAUCAUACUGGCAGCGUCCUGCAACUGGCUCUUUUGCUUUACAGUGAGAAGGGUGUUUUUUCUCCUCUGACAGAUCAUGCCCACACAAGCGUAUUGUGACGUCAUGUGAUUGACAGCCAGUCCCUCCAGCCCGGCUCUGUCCAGAGCCUGACAACCGACUCUAUAUUAAGAAAAGAAUGAAGUCACCGCCACCCUGACAACAGCAGGCGGCGGGCCCUUCCGCUGGCUCCCUCCCACCUUUCUCCCUCCCCUGGAUCUUGAGGAAGCCGCUCUGCAGUAUGAAGGGACGAUGAGGGCUCAGGCUUCCAUAGCACCCCAAGAGGAAAGUGCCCAGUGAUCCCCACUUCCUUCCAGAGAGCCAGCAGGAGGGCGGGCGAGCGAAAGAGGGAGGAGACACUGACCAGCCCAGUUGAGAAGGAGCCUCCUCCCAUUGUGCAAUAACAUUCAGGAGUUACAAGCGCUUUUGUUUAGCUAGGGAGGGGACAGACACCAGAGCCAGUUUUGCACAAGCAAGACAAGGGACAGAGCCUGUAGCCUGGCAGUAGCCUCUGGGACUCAUGGGCCAAUUUCUCUCAUCUUAUAUCACUUCCACCUUCCAUGUGUCUCCAUUAUAUGGCUCCCAACACCCAGAAACUGAGCAAAAGCUUGGCAGAAGGAAUAGUUAAUAGGUCGGACAAUACAGCCACGAAGGGACUUGUUACCCAUAAAACCUGCAUCGGUUAUUAAAUAGCAACCAUCAGCAUAAGGAAAGAAUUCUAGUGUGCUACAGUAUAGUCCAAAUCACUAAACAUACCGCUGUUUGGGGUCAUUCCUGUACAAUACUGGAGAUUUUUGUCACAUACAAGCAUUAGAACAACAACUCAAAUGCCAAUGAGGGAAUAUGGAAAGGAGGGGGAAGCUGAUAAAAAUACUUUUGUUGAUGAAAUUUGCAUAAAGUUGUUUUUCCAGUAUUGAAAGGUUUUGACCUUUCAAUAGAGAGCUGAUUCUGGAGAACAACUUACUUCUGUGAUUGAAAAAUUCUCUCUGGAAAGCUGAUGGAGCAUGAGAAUGAGGAGUACUGCAUUGAGACAACUGAAUCUGCCACAGUAAGGAUGGAAAUUACAUGGGUUUCUUUCCUUUUCUUACAUACAGCUUCUAACUGUGUGUUAUAGGGGAAGGAACCACUAAGUCCAGGCUACAAUUGAUUGCUGGGGACAACAAAGGAGAAAAGAGGAACAGGAGUGAGGUUAAAGAUUGAAAAUCUGUGGAAACAGAGCAGAGAAUCCCAGAAAGCACCCACUGCUUUUCAAAGGCAUCCAAGGAAAGUGGACACUGCCCAGAGGAACUCCGCCUGGAGAUGUGAGCAGACAAGGGACAAUAAAAAGGCCCCACAAUUGCAGAGCACCCCACCCCCAUCCAGCUUCCUCCUCUUGGAGUGAUAGAUGGCCAUCUUGGCCAGUGUCCAGAGGAUGUUGACCAGGAGGUCCCAUGACUUUGUGGGGCCACGGAUGAAGUGUACAUAAAUCAGGAAGUGUGGGGGAAAGAGGCAGCCAGAACCUCAGGAGGAGGUUCUGGAUGAUCCACAAGAGGGGCUGCAACCUGCUGCACUCUACAUAGAUCUCAAGGGUUGUUGUAAAAGGAACAUGUAUCAGAAGAGUUUGUGAACCAUGCCAGUACAUGCCUGUGCUCAGCUCCAUGUAGGAACUCCCAAUUAACAUCUCUGGUGGGCCAUGGAAUUACAGUGGAGUACAGACAGGUCCUCCAGGGUUCCUCACCCUCCACAGGUAGCGAUAGGUUCCUCCACUUGGUGUUGGAUGGGACACAAGGGUGAGGAAGUGACUGGUAUGAAGAAUGAAUGCUUACAGAUAUUCUCUGGGCACAGCUUGGAGGCAGACCUAGGUGACAUGUUGGAGGCAGCCGGGGGGGCUCAUAGAGCAGGGGCCCGAUAAUGAGUUCUGGAGGGCCAGAGAUGAGGGGGUGGACACAAAGCACACUCAUGCAGGACCCACUCAAGGAAAGUCAGAAUCAGGAGCCAAGGCUGCCCUCACUUCCCAGAGCACACAACAGUGGAGAUGCAGGGUGGGCAGCGCCAUGCACUGGCCGAGCACCACAGGGUCCACCCAGUGUCUCAGAUCAAUUCUGGUGGCACCAGCCAGGACUAUCCUCUGGAACACCAAGGGUGACACCAACACCUGAACACAGAGAUGGGAGCAGUGUGUAGCAGGAGUUCUGCAGCACACCGUGGAACUUUUAUUGCAUGGAGGCCAGUUAUUGUGUGGCAGGCUAGUGUGCUGUAUAUUUACAUCCCAGCUUACUGUGCACUGCCAGUGUAGACAUGCCCUCGCUCCCUGCAUGAUUCAUCUCCUGAGUGUGGAACACAGCAUGGCAGUUACCUGACUUAGAGGUAUAGGGAAGACCCUGCAUUAACUUGAUUAGCUGUUUGCUAAUUUGAGGAGUCCCCAGUGAAAAUGCUGAUCAAAAUCCCCACGCAACAAUUCAAUGGGUCUUUUGGUCCCGUCCCACGCUCCAGCAUCUAUCCUAUGUUGCUAUUUACUCGUUCUUUAUUAUUUAUUUAUCAAAUAAAACUUUGUAAUAUGUGUUUUGCAUAAAUUAGUUAAAUAUAUUGUAAAACAAUAUGCCAAAGAGAAGCUCAAACAUGAACAUUGCCUUUAUGUUGUAAAAAGUUUAACACUGUGUGGCAGGUGUUCUUCAUACUGUAAUGUUCUACAAAUAUAACUGCAUGACAAAUGGAAUGGGCAAGAUAAACUGAAAUGUUACUAUUUAUUUCUUAUGUAUAACAUUAUUGUAACAAUGUUUUUAAAAGUGCAAGAUGAAUUCCAUACAUGUGUUCAGGGCGUAGCAGACUGUUAUGUGUAAUUUCAUGGGAACCAAGUGUUUCCUCUUUUUAUACUCCCUUAUAAUGGUUGCACUAUAUUUUUGAGUUUUUACAGUACUUUCCUCAUUGCCAGAUAGUUUGGGGUUCAAAAAUAAAAUCACAAAACCUCUGUUAAA